rnacentral:rRNA from 1 species
UACGGAGGGGGUUAGCGUUGUUCGGAAUUACUGGGCGUAAAGCGCACGUAGGCGGAUUAGUAAGUUAGUGGUGAAAUCCCAGGGCUCAACCUGGAACUGCCUUUAAUACUGCUAGUCUUGAGUUCGAGAGAGGUAAGUGGAAUUCCGAGUGUAGAGGUGAAAUUCGUAGAUAUUCGGAGGAACACCAGUGGCGAAGGCGGCUUACUGGCUCGAUACUGACGCUGAGGUGCGAAAGUGU